rnacentral:lncRNA from 1 species
UGACGUCUAGGUAAAACCACUGUAAUCUCGUAGGGAAUGGUGUGUAUGAAUACUAAAUGUAUGUACCUAGAGAUAGGUACGGAAAUAGGAUUGAUGUUUCUAUGAUUCCAUAUGAACUAGUGAUGUGUGAUAAUUUUGGACACUGCUUGCGAUUAUUUAUUGCAUCACAUAUUCAUACAUGUUGAUGUUAUUGAGUUGAUAAUGAUGGUGAUAUACAACUCGCGAUGUUAUAAGGUUGGGGAUGAUGAAGAUGUUGAUGAGAAUGAGAAGAUAAAAAGGUGAUGACACAUCUUACACACAUGCAUUCAUUCAAAUGUCUUAAACAUUCAAUGAUGUUUAAAUAUAUAUGUUGUUGGUUUCUUGAGUGGAACAACCUGUUGGCAGUGAUGAUGGAAUAUGGUAGCAAAUCAUGAAUACCAGGUACGCCCUAGCUCAAGUUUAAUGCUUAAAUAUCCUAAGUGUAUAGUUAUAUAGGCGGGAUAUACAAUAGUGUCUCCCCUCCAGGGUUGACAAU